rnacentral:lncRNA from 1 species
ACAUGUUAUGCCUAUAAUUUCUAAGUGAAUUUUAAAAUUUUAAUGAAAUAUCAGAGAAGGGCGAUUAUGUGCAUUUCAUGUCUUCAUGAUUCUUGUGUGUGCUUGGUUGGAAUGUUAAAUUCAUUCUUCUUGUCCAUUAGAUUGGAAAUAUGGAAAAUAUUAGAAGUUUCACUCGAGAUUUGUUACUUUCAAAGUGCCAUAUUUUGGAGUAAGAGAGAGUUGUGCUCCCUAAAUUUGAAAAGUGAUGGAGGAGAGAAUUAGGGAGGUGAGACACAGGAAGAAAAGUGGUUAAGUCUUGAAAGACUAAUAGACUGGUCACUUGACCAUAUAGAACAAAUGUCUGCAAUAUUAUUUGCUUUGAGGAAUAGUAGAAUUAUAUUUUUUUUCCUAUUAAAAUGUGGGGAUGCUAGCAUCUACAAAAAAGGAAGUAAGUUGGUAUUCCCCAGUAUAUAUAGCCCAGAAAAAAAUUUAUCCCUGGAGUUUCUAAACUUAGUUAUUCAUCAGUUAACUCCUUGAUGAGCCUCAUCCAGCUUCGUCUAAUUCCGUCUGAUCAUCUGCACCUUAUACAUUUAAUACUAAACAAACUGAAGAAGCCAUGAAAUUACAUUUGCACAUUCUACAUAUGGAAACAUGUUAUAUUAUAGGUAGAAAUAGUUCUGUGUGUGUUUGUAUCCUUUUUACUCGUUCAAAUUAUUUAGAAAGUAGUACAUAUUAAAAUUUUGGAGUAGUUCAGGUAGAUUUGGAUUAGGGCCUGUCUCAUGCUUGCAAUUUGAAUUUGGCCCUUAAAUUCAAAUUACAUGGUUAUCAAGCCUUUUGGAAAUAUAAUUAGUAGUAAAGAUACAUCGAUGCCUCAUAAUAAAAAACUUCUAAAUAGUGCCAUUAUGUUUGCUUCUCAUUCUAGAUAUGGUUGUUAAGGGGCCUCGUAACAUAUAGAAUGUAUGCCUUGUUUUUGGUUUUCUUCAACUAAUGUAUGUAACUUAUAUUUUAGAAGUGUAAGAGCAAUCAAGCAUUAUACAUAUAUUGAAUGCAAUCACGUCUCAAUCAUUGCCUACUUAAAACAAAUGUUGUAUCUUGGGAUGGGUUUCUCGAACUUUAUAAAUUCUUAAUUUUAUCUUGU